UACAGACUGUGAAGCGUUGCGAGUGAUGGAGAUUGAAAACAAAGAUGUGGCUCAACCAGAAAUUGAUCUUCACUGUUAACUUAUAAAUAUACAGCAUACUUGACAUUAUCAGCACAAUAUCCAUCUGUGCGGCAAGAAAGGUUUAAAUACAGAAGUAACAUGAAUUUGUGAAGAAAUGCAUUGUUAUGAUUUUCCGAACACAUUUAGAAGAUGAAGGAAUCAGUCCAGAGAAAUGCCUUUCAUGUGUCAGCUCUGCAUUUAUCAUGUUCAUUUAUUUAGGUUAUAAUAUUUGGAUUACACUAGAGUUAUUUGUAAUAUUGAAUCCAUUGGGGUUUACUGUUUGCAUACUAUACUGAAAGAAUUAUUCACUCUUGGCGUUUUCCCCACUCUGCAUGGCGUUAACCAUUACAACUCAAAGAGACUGCUAUGAAGAUUCUUACACUCUCUUUGUGUUGGUUAAUAUGUCUCAUACAUUCUUCCUGCAAGUUUUGUUAAAUGAAAUGAUGGGCAUGAUGAAAGGUGUGGGAACACUGAACAGACGUUAGAAACGUACUGCUCUUGUGGGAACAGUUGCUGUAAAGAAACAAAGCUUUAUUUCUGAAUCGUUAACUGCAAUAAUUUAAUUCUCGGAAGUAACAUUCUCUACGGGCAAUACCAGUAUAUCAGAAUUGCAACAAUUCAACAUUUGUUUUUCUGAAACUGGAUGACAGCAUGGAUAAGAAAUUCCAAUUUCACACAAUUGUAAUAUUGCAUUGAUAUCCCACCUGCUGUGCAUUUUACAACAGACGUUCAUCCCAUGCAUGAAGCUGUCUGGUUACUACCAUUAAGCUUGUGCAGGCCAAAAGCCAUGCUAGAUCCUCUCACUGCUGUUCAACAUAAGCAGGUGAGGGACACAGCAACAGGUCUUCCCCAUACACAGAGUAGUCUGUAGCUAGCUUCACUUUGGUUAAACUGCCAAUAUUAAUUCUGGGCAAUACAGUAUUGGUACACAAAAUAUAAUUAGAAGGUCUCGAAGAUAAAAAUGUAUUAACUGAGCCAUUCAGGUGACAAUACACAAAAGUACCAUUCUGAAGGCCAAAACUUUUACUGAUAUGAAACUAUAUAUAAAUACUUUAAAAUUUACAUUAAGAAAAGAGUUCAUUGUCACGUGUAUUAUCAAAGAACAUAGACAAAACAUGUGGGACUUCUUGGCAAACUGCACAAGUUUGACUGAAACAUUAGUGUGUGGUGACAGUUUCCAUUGAACCAGCUAGUAUUACAAUCUAAGAAUCAGAACAUGCCACCUUAACAAACAUUAACUGCACAAUACUCACUCUCCUGCCAACUGCUGAGAACUAAACUAUCACAAGAUUUAAUUUCUGUCCUCACAUUUUCUUUUUUGUGAAAAGCUCUGAUAUGUAAAAAUAUUUGUACUAUGGGGCCACUGUAUGUAAUGCAUACCAUAUUUUACAGGUAGGAAUAGAGCCUGUAGUGGGAAAUUAUAUUCAAAAGUAUUUUACUUUAAUAGUGACAGUUCAUUCCCCAAAUCCAGACUUAUUUAUAAAAAGUGACAAAGUCUUGAGAAUGAUAAACACGAACAGCAGAGGCGGUAAACGUUUUGGUAAUGACAGCUUAAAACUUAGUUACAAGAUGAGCCACACAAAGCACUUAACCCAGUUAGGGGGCAGUUUCUUUGUGAAUUUUCCAUCUUAAAAACCAAGGCUCGUCCUACAUUUGCAUACGAAAAUACAUUAUACCAACAGUCUUGGCAUGCAAUCCAAACUACCUGUUGCCUAUCUCUCACUGAUUCACAAGACUCCAUGUAUUUAUUAACACUUUGGGGUACAUUUUUUUAUUUUGUGUAAUAUAUUGGACUUAGGUUCAAAGCACAGUAUAUAAUUCAUCAUAAUCACUAAUAUGAUCAGAGUCUAAACUUGGGAAAACUGCAGAUCAGCAGUAAGGUUUCCUUUGCACUGAAGUGGCUAUAGCAAGGAAGUUGAUACUGGUUUGCCAGCUCUGUUUUAUGUAUUUCACAACCACAAAAGUUCGUAGAAUAUAUAGUCUCAUAUUAAUAACUGAAUAAUGAAAUAAAGCAGGAGAGUGCAUCUGUCCAUAAAUCAAGUAAAUGUAAGCAUAUUUGUGUAUUCAUUGAAGCACAGUCAUAUAAAAGCCAAAGCCAGCUCAUACUGUUUAGUCCAAUUUUGUUUACACAUAAUGCACAUACUCAUCAAGCAACACACAAUAUUACAGUGAAGUGCGCAACAAAA